GAUUUCAACAGCCAACAGCCUCGCAGACACAUCGAGGAGCCGGGGCACCCUGGCUUGGUCACCGCCCCCGUGCAAGUUAAGUGCGGGGGCGAUGCUGGGGGUCUUGACUCUGGGAUUAAGUGUCCCUGCAGGUGGCAUGCUCAGGAUAAAGUGGCUGGUGCCAAGGCUGUUGACACAUCACCUCCAUCCCGCCACAAAGGAAGCUGCCCCGCCAUCAACAAAUGCUUGUUUUCAGGCGGGUGGUCAGGAAAUCAAGUGAGCAGCCUGAGGUCACGCAACUAGAGGGUGACCCCAGCAGGACUGGACUGUGCCCUGCCACCUCCAGGCCACCCCUGUGGCUCUCCUUAUUUAUUUAUUUAAUUUAUUUAUUUGAGACAGAGUCUCGCUCUGUUGCCCAGGCUGGAGUGCAAUGGCACGAUCUCGGCUCACUGCAACCUCCCCCUCCCAGGUUCAAGAGAUUCUCCUGCCUCAGCCUCCUGAGUAGCUGGGAUUACGGGCAUGCGCCACCAUGCCCCGCUAAUUUUUGUAUUUUUAGCAGAGGAGGGGCUUUGCCAUGUUGGCCAGGCUGGUCUUGAACGCCUGACCUCAGGUGAUCCACCCACCUUGGCUUCCCAAAGGGGUGGGAUUACAGGCGUGAGCCACUGCGCCCAGCCUAUUUAUUUUUUGAGACAGGAUCUUGCUCUGUCACCCAGACUGGAGUGCAGUGGUGUGAUCUCGGCUCACUGUAGCCUCUACCUCCUGGGGCUCAAGUGAUCCUCCUGCCUUGGCCUCCCAAAACACGGAGAUAACAGGUGUGAGCCACUGUGCUCCCUCUUUUAACACCUCUUGCUUUCUUUUCUCUCUGUCACCCAGUAGGCACCUCUGACUCAGCUGUGCCCCAUAACAUCUUCCUGUGAGCAAAGGGCUCCCCAGAGGCAGGUCACCUGUACCCUAAGAGGAAACAGCAGAAUGUUGCCGUCCGCGGCAGGAGAUCGCACUCGGCCCCUGGAAGUGGACCUCAGUGGGUGGCCUGCCCUGACAGGGAAGGGCGUGAGGGGGAAGGACAUGGCCCAGAGCAAGCCACAUGAGAAAAAUUACAAUAAAGUAUGGGACAUCCGCUGGGGACAGGGAGCAAGCAACAUGGGGCCACUGAGGGAAGGAGGUGACAAGGUGGGAGCCAAGGGACAGGGGUCCUGGGGUCUGAAUUUUCCUCAGCAAGCAAGUGGGAGCCAGCAAUGGUUGUAGAGCAGGAGAGUAGUGGGUCUGGACUCAUAGAGCAGCUUGUGGCUCAGGGGAGGUAGGAGGGUUAGCUGGUUCCCCAGAGCCUGUGUGGGUGAUGGGGGGGAGGGAACUGAGGCAGCAGACCAGAAGUGCUCCUGCACAUUCCCCUGCCUGCCUACCUUCUUUUGUCCCUCCUUCCUCUCCCUCCCUCCCAACAAUGCUUUCUGAGCACCCAGGAACCUGCUGGGUGCUGGGAGGACACGAUGGACCCUCGAGAAGGCUGCCCGAGGCUCCAGGCAGGCAGAGUGCAGACCCAGCAGCUGCAGCCUCGGCUGUGGGGAGCAACAAAGGCGCCUGAAACCAGGCCGCCCACAGGAUGUUGGAAACCACAGGGCCCGAGACUUGGCCUUACUAUGUUGCCCAGGCUGGUCUCAAACUCCUGGGCUCAAGUGAUCCUCCUGCCUUGGCCUCCCAAAGCACUGGGAUUACAUGUGGGAGCCACCGCACCCGGCAUGCCAGCUUCCUUCUCAGUCACUCCUGGAAGGUAACUCUCUCUCGCCUUGUCCAUGAAGAGGCCCCAUUGCCUGCCAGUCUUGCUGCAGGCGCUGUGAGAAGGCAUUUUCCAUCUGUCAACUGGACCUAGUUUUAUGUUGCCCGGGUCAGCGUCAUCCCUGUAGCAGGGGCCAGGUCUACUCCUGGAUGCCACCACGCCUCUGUGGGUUCCUGCAGUGACUCCUUCAACCCUUUCCCUCUGGAGGAAUCAGCUGCUUCACAGCUUGUUUCAGGACAAGGAAAUGCUGCUUUGUACAGGUUCAGGGCCAGCAUCCAGUCCCCUGGCUGGGUGGCAGUGCAUAAACCAAGCCUCUGCCCAGCGCUGUCAGCCCAGGGAGCGUCCAGCAGCCCCAACUGAAUCCAAGGUCACCACAAGGCUCGAAUCCAGUCCCCAGGCCAUGCCUCCCCUGGCCUUGGGCUCACACUGCACUCAAGGCUCCUAACCCAGCUUGUUAACUACUUGGAACCCCUCCCCCAACCCAUCUUUACCAGCCUUGAAGUUCUGAACUUUCAAGUCAUGGCACAUAACACAUACUUCCCCAAACCACAAACCCUGCGAGGCCGGACAGGGGCCCCGAGUCCCCCACCUGCACCACUCCCUCUCGCUUCCCUAACACCAGGGAGGGGGAUCAGCCCAUCAAGGAAGCAGUGCGUGAUGCCUUCCGAAACAGGCCAGAGGCCAGCCUCAGAUUGAUCACAGCUGAUCUCAGCCUCUCAAAUUGUUCGCCCCGGGCACCGUAAGCUGGGAGGCCUGGGCCUCUCCGCUGGUUCACGUGCCAGGACAUAGUAUGUGCGCCAGAAAUCACAUUUCACCCCCUAAAUGCUGCUGAGCCCUAAGAUGCAGCUCACAAACCCCUCUUCUGGGAGGCUGUCCCUGACACGGCCCUUCAAGCCACUGGAGCCCGACUCCCCACCAGGCUGGGAUAGGCCAGCGUCUGUCUCCUCCACUGGACCGGACGCAAUGGUAAAGGCAUGUGCUGUCUUGGUGAGUUGUGGGGUGGGGCCUGAAUCUGCUUUUGUAGCAACUCCCGGCUGAGGCAGCAGCUGGGGGUGCUUGGGCCCCACUUUGAGGUGCGGGGGCUGGAGCUUGGCACCCAGCCAGGGCUCUGUUGGAUACGGGUGUGUGGAUUAAUGGAUGAACAUCUGCAUCUCUGGUCUGGGAACUGAAAUGAGGAGACAGCAGGCCCAGGUUAC
rnacentral:lncRNA from 1 species